UUCUGUUUGAUCCCGGCGGAGGCUACUGCUAUUGGGAUUCGAUUAAGCCAUGCGAGUUGAAUGAAUUUAGAUUCAUGGCGUACGGCUCAGUAACACGUGGAUAACUUACCCUUAGGACUGGGAUAACUCUGGGAAACUGGGGAUAAUACCGGAUAUUAGGCUAUGGCUGGAAUGCUUUGCCUUUGAAAUGUUUCUUGUAUUCGCCUAAGGAUAGAUCUGCGGCUGAUUAGGUCGUUGGUGGGGUAAUGGCCCACCAAGCCUAUGAUCGGUACGGGUUGUGAGAGCAAGAGCCCGGAGAUGGAACCUGAGACAAGGUUCCAGACCCUACGGGGUGCAGCAGGCGCGAAACCUCCGCAAUGUACGAAAGUGCGACGGGGGGAUCCCAAGUGUUAUUCUUAAUAGGAUAACUUUUCAUUAGUGUAAAAAGCUUUUAGAAUAAGAG
rnacentral:rRNA from 1 species